CAACUAUCCCCUCCCACAACUACAGGUUCCGCAUAUAUAUAUAUAUAUAUAUAUAUAUAUAUAUAUAUGCGGAGCCUGUAGUUGUGGGAGGGGAUAGUGCUA